rnacentral:rRNA from 1 species
ACAACCUCGAAUAUGGGGGAUAGCCGGCCUAACGGCCGAGUAAUACCGCAUACGCUCUCGAUGAGGCAUUUCAUUGAGAGGAAACCUCCGGGGUAUUUCGAGGGGCUCGCGGCCUAUCAGCUAGUUGGCGAGGUAACGGCUCACCAAGGCAACGACGGGUAGCUGGUCUGAGAGGAUGGCCAGCCACAUUGGGACUGAGAUACGGCCCAG